rnacentral:lncRNA from 1 species
AUUUAAUUUAAAAGAUUGAGUUUAGUUCCACUCACCUCUGGCUGACUCUGACAACACCGAAGCAGCUGAACUCACUGCUGGGGUCCUCGGUUCCUCGGGUCCGAACCUACACAGGUGGACUCAAAUGAGGGACCAAACAUACGUAAAUACAACUCUAAUAUACUCCCCAAAAACCCCCUAAAACAUCCUGAAAACAUCACCUAAAAACAUGCAAGAAAUGGCUGAACAGGGCACUUUCGGCGGCAGGUUCGGCGGCCGAAAGUCCCUCCAGAGCCGAAAGUCAGGCAGGUUCGGCGGCACCUUCGGCGGCCGAAACUCCCAAACAGAGACGAAAGUCUUCUUUCGGGGGCAAGCUUCGGCAGCCGAAUGCUGCCUCCACAAGGGGGUUCGGCGGCCGAAACUCCCUUCGGCGGCCGAGCCUGGUUUCUGCCAGAAGGGCAGAAACUUGGUUCACAUGAACCCCUUGCCUCCCAAAACUUCAAAUCAAGCAUAUAUCUCAAUCAAAUCAUGCAUACAAGUUCCUAGGGGUCUCAAACAGUCAUACACCCCAACUACAACACUUCAAACACACAAAAUCCACACACAUUGUUCAAAACAUCAAUAUAACCCAUAACUCAACAUAUACCCUAACAUGCAUUUCUACCCAUAGAUCUUGCAUAAAACUUAUUUAAAACACAUAAGGAGCUUAAGAUCGGCUCUUACCUCUUGAAGAUCGAGAGGGAGACGACCUAAACUUGGAGAUCCACGAAAAUGAGCUCCUGAGUUCCCAAAGCUCCAAAACUUGGUUUAAAUGCUCAAACUUGCAAAUGUGAGUUUAAAACUCAAGAAAAAUGGAAGAGAUUUGGAGGAAGAGCACAAGAGUUGCAAAGGGAAGGUCGGAAGCUUGCUGUGGCCGAAAAUGGGAGAAAACUCACCCGUUUCGGCUAAGUGCCCCUUUUAUAGGUGGCUGGCCAGGCCACGUUCGGGGGCCGAAUGCGCUCCCGCAUCCAUGCAAUGUUCGGCGGCCGAACUUGACUUUCGGCGGCCGAAACUGGACUUCCCUAACUCAUGCUUUUGGGGGCCUAACGUGCCUCCAUAAUGCAUGCAUGUUCGGCGGCCGAACUUGGCUUUCGGCGGCCGAACCUGGGUUUUCCUCCAAAGACUUUUCAUGCAAAAACUCAUUUAAUUUCAUACUUAAAACCAUUAAAAACAUGAAAACAUUUUACAAAAACAUGAUUUUACCCUUCUAGAGGUCUCCGACAUCCGGGAUCCCCGGAACGGUAGGAAUUCCGAUACCGGAGUCUAGCCGGGUAUUACAUGCCAUAUCUCAUCUGAUCUCAUAGUAUCUCUGCUUAUAUCAAGGACUAAGGAUCAUCCAACAUUCAUCCAUACAAAUAUCAUCUUAUGCAAUGCAUCAUAUUCGUGAAGUCUAAUGCAAUACAACCUAAUACAUAACAUGGCAUUUUAUGAUGCAUGAACCAUGCUAGAAACGUGUCAUUUCUAAAGUAAAAUAUGAAGAUUCGUUCCACUCACCUGUAGCCACUGCUUGGCUAACUCUGGGCUACCUCGAACUCUGAAGCAGCUACUACUGCUAAAUACCUCGGUUCCUCGGGUCCAAUCCUACAAUGAAGGACUCAAAUGAGGUACCAAACGUACUCCAACAUUACUCUGAACAUCUCCCUAAAAAUCCCUAAAAACACCUCAAAACAGGCAUGCAAAACAAUUAAAGGAAGGCUGGACAGGGCACCUUCGGCAGCACCUUCGGCGGCCGAAUGUCUCUUUCAGAGACGAAAGUCGGGCAUGUUCGGCAGCCGAAUCCUCCUUCGGCUGCCGAACCUGGGUUCAUCCAGAACUCAGCUUCGUGCACAAAGACGCCUUCCAGUCCUUCCAAACCCUUAACACAUGCAGCCAACCUUUCUAAAACAUGCAUAACUCAUACAACAAGCAUAUAGGAGCUUAAGACAACUUGAACUCUAACAAACAAGCUCAACAAGCAAACAUAAAGCAUAAAGGGUCCAUAAACCCUAAUAUGCACAACUCAUGCAUAAACUCCCUUUUCCCUUCAUCAAACUCAUAAAAACAUCAUAAAAACCAUGAAUCACCACUUACCUCUUGAAGAACAAAGGUUGGUGUGAUCCAAACGUAGAGCUCUGGAGGAUCUAAGCUCCAAACUUUCCAAAAUUGUGCUCAAAGUACAAGACCUUCAAAAACCACCAUAAACCUUACUCACUUUGAAAGAUUUGAUGAAAAACCAUGAAAACCUUCCAAGGGGAACAUGAACUCACCUCUGGAAGUGAAAAGGAAGCUAAUCUGAUCCAUUUCACCGACUGAGGGUUCCUUAUAGGCGACUGACCGCCUCAGCUUCGGCGGCCAAACCUGCAUGCAAAACCAUGCAACGUUCGGCGGCCGAACUUGGAGUUUCGGGGGCCGAAUCGAGGGCAUUUUCGGCGGCCGAACCCGCACUUUAUUCCCUUGGUCUUUUCUCUUCAACACUCAAUCCUAUUCCAUUCUAAACCUUUAAAACAUUUGAAAAUAUUUUAGAAAACCUUUCUCUUACCCUUCUAGAACCUCUGACAACUUCGAAUUCCACCGGACAGUAAGAAUUUCGAUAUUUGAUCUAGCCGGGUAUUACACGUAACUCUUGAGCCCUUUUAAUUAGUAUUUGGUAUAAUAGACUUUAAAAUUUAAUUUUCUCUUUUAAUUACGCACAUCGACAUCCUAUGACAAUAUUUAUAUUAUUAUUUUACUUUGAGUUCUCAUUUUUAAUGGGUAACUCAUUAGCGUUCUGAAAUAUUUUAGUUGCAUAUAAUUUUAAUUUAUAAUUUAUUUUAUUUAUUUAUGUUAUGUGCUUAUUAUAGAGACAUCUAGCCAUACAUUAUCAUUACUAAAAUUAUAGAAGGUCAGAUGGUUGAACCAUAAACCUUCCAUAUUCAGUUACUAUGCAAUAAACUCUUUUUAUCUUUUUAUAUCAAUCUCUGUUAACUAUAAGUUUUGUGUCAUGUAUAUCUUGAAAAAAUUAAAAUCUCUGAUCUAAUUAUGUUCUCAUGAUUCUUAUUCAAUAAGUGACACCACUCUAGACAGAGAUUUAUUUCAAUAAUGAUAUAAUUAUACCUUACUAUUAAUUUAAGUAUGGUGAAUCAUUUAUUGAUCAGUACUUCUCGAUAAAGUAUAAGCCUUUGUACUUAGAUAUACUUAAAAAUCUCAAAUCUAAGGAUAUUUAUAUAAGCGGUAUGAGAUAAUAUAUUUAUUUAUAUCAAGUUUGGGUCUCCUAUGUAUCUUCAAAUAAGCAUCCAUUUGUUAAAUCUAAACAUCUUAUGCUUUCAGUUUACUAGAACAACUACUUGUAUAACAUAUGCUAGCCUAUCUAUAUCAAAGAAAUCCCAUUUUAUUAAUAUUAUGGUUAGAAAUAAUUUAAAUAUUAACACAUUUACAUGUAAUAACAAUCUUAUAUCAUAAACUCUUUAGGAUUUCCUCUACACUAUGUCUUGUAAUACUAAAGAUUUUAUUUUUAAUUUAAAAACUAAAUUAAAUAAAUGAAAUUAAUUAUAAAUACUAAUAAAUAAAGAAUAUUAUUAAUAAUAGAUAGUUUUCCCUAUUACAAUAUCUCACUGCCAUAUUCUUGGGCAAGAACCUGCAAAAAGUUGCAAAGUACAGGGAAAAGUGCUUGAAGAAGCAUAGGAAAAGUAGAAAUUGAAAUGGGCACAUGGUUAGCAAAAUCAAAACUCACUUGAAUCCUAUAGCGUCAGCACAUGCUCUAAGCUUACUAUGCAAAUUUGUAUUUAAAAGUAAUGAUUUUAAUGAGUUGAGGUAUUUCUUAGGUCUUAAAUUUUAUUAAGAUAUGUAAAGGAUAAAAAUGAUAUAGCUUAGGCGUCUAAGUAUAUAUUUAGUGUUUAAAAUUUUUUCCUAAAAUGACAAUUGUAGUAAUCACAAGCACUAUUCUUUAAAUUUCUUACUCAAAUCUGUAUAAAUGUGUUAGAUUUUUUAUUUUGAUUAACGUGCCGAUAAUUUUUAAAAUAAUCAAUUAGCUUAAUCACCAAAAUAUAAAAUCUUCUUAGGUCAUACGGUUACUAUAAUUAUAAAUUUAAUGUGUUUGAUUACUAUAAUUACAAGUUUAGUGGAUAAAUUUAAAUUUCUUUUAAAUCAAUGUUGAUUUUUUACUAUAAUUUCGCUUCAAAAAAUUUGAGAUAUAUAAUCCAAAAUUAAAAUGCUUAAUAUAAUCUCAACUUUACAUUAACAUUUAGUGUUUUGCAUAUGAUUACCUUUUAAUUUAUAUAAAAAAAAAAUUACAUAUUAAUUUUUAAAUUUUGAUUAGUUAUGUGUACAAACAAGAAAUUUAGAAUUCAACCAUAAUCAAGCUACAUAUUUUCUUUUAGAGAGAGAAAAUCCUCUCAAAGUCUUCCAUUAGUUUUGAUCUCAGUAGGGCCAAGUCAUUGUGUGUAACGACCCGAAAAUCGGACCGCUACCGGCGCUAGGAUCUAGGUCGGCAUAAGGCCGCCGGAACCCAUAGCAAGCCUGACAUAAAACCUGUAAACCUGCUGAAUCUCAUACAUGAUCAAGAAUAUACAUAAAAAUUUAAAACUUUUCUUUCAUACAUUCUCUCAUACACCAAACUCAACCUGUGCAUGCACUGAACAUAAACAUAAUCAUAACCAUGACCCCUCUAUGGGAUCUCAUCAAUGCCCCAAUGGGCGAUACAACAUAUGUUGAGUUGGUUUACAUAAACAUCACAAAACAUCUAAGAUCAUGUAUAAAAAGGGAUACCUCACACAUUGGGUCAAGCACAUUCUCUAACCUUCAAUAUCAUCACAUACAUUACUAUUCAUAACUUUACAUCAUUUUACAAUUUAUCAUGUCCACACUCUAUCUAUUACAAACACAUGACUUCAUGACUCUUGCCGACCUCCUGGUCUACCUUGUACAUGCAAACCUGGGGGAUUAGGGAGAGGGGUGAGCUACUAGAGCCCAGUGAGCAGAAUAAAUAAAAAAAACAUUUAAAACAUAUGGUAACAUGGAAUGCAUCACAUCACAGCUAAUCACAUCAAGGAUGAACUUGUCACCAAUAGCCCUCUACAUAGUCCAACUGUGCCAGAACGUAGAAUGGGUCCUGAUCUUUCUCUUACAUUGCCAGAACGUAGAAUGGGUCCUGGUCUUUCUCUUACAUAGUGCCAGCGAACGUAGAAUGGGUCCACUGGUCUUACAUUCCGUACCGUACAUAUCACAUCGUCACAUCAUAGAUCGAGGGCUAUGGAUCAUCCAACAUUCAUCCACAUCAACAUGAAAAUAUGCAAUGCAACAUAUUCGUGAAUUCUAAUGCAAACAACCUAAAUCAUCACAUGGCAUUCAUGAUGCAUGAACAUGCUCAAACUUUACAAUUGAUUUACUUUAAAACGUAAAGGUUUAUUCUACUCACCUCUGGAUAGCUCUGACUAGACACUGGAGCAGCUAACUCACUGCUGGGGUCCUCGAUUCCUCGGGUCCGAACCUACACAGGUGGACUCAAAUGAGGGACCAAACAACUAGAAUAUAACUCUAAAAACAUCUCCCAAAAACCCUCUAAAACUCCUCAAAACAUCCAUGCAAAAACAUACAAAGGAAGGCUGGACAGGGCACUUUCGGCGGCAGGUUCGGAGGCCGAAAGUCCCUCCAGAGCCGAAAGUCAGGCAAGUUCGGCGGCACCUUCGGCGGCCGAAACUCCCAGACAGAGACGAAA